AAUUCAGAGAGAGAGCCGAAAGAGAAAAGGGAGUAGAAGAGCUGUUAGUUUCCCUUCUUUUUCCUAUCACUGCAAGUCACGAAAGGAGUUCAUUCCUUUCGACCUUACAAACUCCACAACCAAGUUUACAUCGCGAGUUGCUGAAGUGUGCAGGAAAAGGGUACAAGUUAGGAGAAGAGGUGUCGAAGGCGAAAAAGACGCUAGAAGGGUGCAAUACUGGUCAGGUCAGGAUGCAUGCCACAGGGCUUAAGAUGGAGAAGGAAGGAUCUGCUAGGAAACGACCAACUAUUUGAGGGGCAAAGAUGACAUUUCACAUGAUGAGGCAGCCUUAGAGAUUAGGGCAAGCCAACCUAUAAAUAGAAGGUCACAUGAAGAAAGAAGAGACUCUCCCGUACUUGGAGGUUCCAGUUCCAUACACUUGGAGACUCGCUCCACCACUUCUCGUUCCUCGCUCUCAGUCCACAUCUGCCUGAAGACUUCGGCAUACUGCUGGAGGGGAGUUCAUUGCCGUUCCAGUCAGCCGUUGUAGUAAAAAACAAUUUGCUGUUACAUUGCUCUGAGCAGCCUAAAAAAAUCUUACUUCUUUUGUCUUAAGUUUCCAUAGAAAAACUCAAGUUAUUUUAAGGUUGUUUGUUGAUCGAAGUUAUUUCCUUUGUUUUGAACAAUUCGUGCUUGGAUCUAGUCAUAAUGAAGUCGAAGUUGGUUUCCUUUUCGUA